CCACACCUCACACUGAACAGCUUGAGGAGCAGCGAGCAGCGCUGUCUUGCUAAGAACAUGCAACAGCAAACAGAGAAACCUGCAGAGAGUGAUCGGGGUUUGAACACACUGAGGGCCUCUCUCUGUCUCAUCAGCCCGCUUUUUUCCUUCCAAACUGGAGAGGAAGCAGUGGCAGGACGACAAAGGCUGCAAAUGCCUUUUCUUCUCCUAAAGCAGGGUGAAAAAUGACAUAAUGGCAGUCAAGCUCAGUGAACCUGGAUUUUUCAUUUGGAUCAAUCACAGCAAGAAGGCAGCCAGUGGUUUAGUAGAUGUUGUUACAGGACUGAGUGGGAUUGCAACAUCACGCUAACUCAAAAUCUCCAUUAAAAAGCUGAACAAGUU